GAGAGACAGAAGGAGGUGGAAUUGGGCAGCUGAUGCCUUGAAAAUGAUCAGGAAGGAAGGCAGUGGGGUGCCGGGCCGCAGGUAGGCUGGGAGGGCAGGCCUUGAAUUUGUCGAUACCAGCAGCACCCUUUUUUUCCAGACAAAGUGUUGUGAACCCGCCUGGGGUUGAGGCCUGGUCUUGUGGAAAGUGAACUUAGCUUCAUGGGGCUGACAGCUCUGGCCCAGGAUGGUAUGUAAUUUUGGCUCAGCCUACGACAUUGUUCAGGCCAAGCCCAGCCUGGGGGG